CCUACGGGGGGCUGCAGUGGGGAAUUUUGCGCAAUGGGCGAAAGCCUGACGCAGCAACGCCGCGUGGGUGAUGAAGGUCUUCGGAUCGUAAAACCCUGUCGUUGGGGACGAAGGUGGGGGCGUUAAUAGCGUUUCUGCUUGACGGUACCCGGAGAGGAAGCCCCGGCUAACUCUGUGCCAGCAGCCGCGGUAAUACAGAGGGGGCAAGCGUGACGUGAAAGUCUUGGGCGCGGUGUGUUAAGUCAGAUGUGUAAUCCCCGAGCUCAACUUGGGAACUGGAUCUGAGACUGGAAGGCUAGAGUACUGGAGAGGGUGGUGGAAUUCCUCGUGUAGCGGUGAAAUGCGUAGAGAUGAGGAGGAACACCAGUGGCGAAGGCGGCCACCUGGACAGUAACUGACGCUGAGGCGCGAAAGUGUGGGUAGCAAACAGGAUUAGAUACCCUUGUAGUC
rnacentral:rRNA from 1 species